rnacentral:rRNA from 1 species
UACGUAGGGAGCAAGCGUUGUCCGGAAUCAUUGGGCGUAAAGCGCGUGUAGGCGGCCCGGUAAGUCCGCUGUGAAAGUCGGGGGCUCAACCCUCGGAUGCCGGUGGAUACUGUCGGGCUAGAGUGCGGGAGAGGCGAGUGGAAUUCCUGGUGUAGCGGUGAAAUGCGCAGAUAUCAGGAGGAACACCAAUUGCGAAGGCAGCUCGCUGGAACGUAACUGACGCUGAGACGCGAAAGCGUGGGGAGCAAACAGG